CGUUUACGUCAAAACUUCCGUCAAUUGUCAUCGAAUAAAAACAAAAAAAGAGGCAGAUUUGUAAUUCUGCAUUUCGAAGAUGAUUAAGAAUAAGAUGUCGGCAUGGAUGAGGGGCAGUGAUUUCUCCAACAAAAUGGCGCGCCACCACAUUAUGCCCUUCCUGUUGGAGUUUAUUUAAACCAAUUAUUUCCCAAUCGAUGGAUUGGGAGAAGAGACUGGAAUAUCACCAGAUUUACACCACUGGACCAAAUACUUUGGAUGAACAAAAAAUCAGAAUCCGAAAAGUUCAGCAAAUAAUUCUUGAUACCUUAGGGAAUUGUUAAGAAGAAUUUAAAAAUUGUUUAGGAGCUGCCCAAGGUGAGGCCAACGCUCUAAAAGUAUAGAUAGUACCGAUUUGUCUCAGUUGUGCACCAGUUAGUGGUGCACUGAAAUUACAAACACCUUCAAGAAAGUUAUUUUGAUCAGCAAUAUAAUGACACCAACUACAUUCAUGUAGUUUAACUUUUGAAGACAAUUCCUCAAUUUAGCAGCUUGUGGACGAAUUGCAUGGAUUUAAGAUGGUCAAUCAUUGUGCAAUUAAAAUGGGGCCAUUUACGUUGAUAGUAAAUAUUUUAUCUGAUAUUCAAUGGAACUUCCUUCAGUAGGUCUAUCAAAAUAAUGACGAAAAAGGAAAAUUGAUGCUGAACGUGACUUUCCGCUGUCACAUGUGGGUUAUUAUCAGACCAACAUAAAUUUGUAUAUUAAUUCCACAAUAUGCUGCUGAGAUAUCUUAAUGAUUUUAUAUUUGUGAUAUGUAGUUAGCAACCAGUCUUUUAUGGCUAUGCUAUGAGAUAGGUAGAUAAGUGUUCUACAAAGAAUAAUUACCACAGAGCAUCAAAAUAAUUCUUUGUGGAAUGCAUGUGUACAUGCAACCUGAUCAUUUUGGGAUCUGUUUUUUGAUAAUUUGUUUUGUUAAAGUAUCCAAAAUGUAACUCUUCCUUAUAACUCUACUUAUUUUCUGUGUACUGGAUAUUAUGUAACUGUUCACACAAUUAUUUUGAGUCAUUUAAACUUCUGUAUAAGUAAAAUUUUUAAAAUUAUGACCAAGAACUCAAAUAUUAAUAAUAUAAGUUUCACCCAAUGUUAUCAUGCUUAAAGGAACAACAAAUAAAUAUCGAAAACUCA